UACAUGCAAGUCGAGCGAACUGACGAGGAGCUUGCUCCUUUGACGUUAGCGGCGGACGGGUGAGUAACACGUGGGUAACCUACCUAUAAGACUGGAAUAACUCCGGGAAACCGGGGCUAAUGCCGGAUAACAUAUCGAACCGCAUGGUUCGAUAGUGAAAGACGGUCUUGCUGUCACUUAUAGAUGGACCCGCGCCGUAUUAGCUAGUUGGUGAGGUAACGGCUCACCAAGGCAACGAUACGUAGCCGACCUGAGAGGGUGAUCGGCCACACUGGAACUGAGACACGGUCCAGACUCCUACGGGAGGCAGCAGUAGGGAAUCUUCCGCAAUGGGCGAAAGCCUGACGGAGCAACGCCGCGUGAGUGAUGAAGGUCUUCGGAUCGUAAAGCUCUGUUGUUAGGGAAGAACAAAUGUGUAAGUAACUGUGCACAUCUUGACGGUACCUAACCAGAAAGCCACGGCUAACUACGUGCCAGCAGCCGCGGUAAUACGUAGGUGGCAAGCGUUAUCCGGAAUUAUUGGGCGUAAAGCGCGCGUAGGCGGUUUUUUAAGUCUGAUGUGAAAGCCCACGGCUCAACCGUGGAGGGUCAUUGGAAACUGGAAAACUUGAGUGCAGAAGAGGAAAGUGGAAUUCCAUGUGUAGCGGUGAAAUGCGCAGAGAUAUGGAGGAACACCAGUGGCGAAGGCGGCUUUCUGGUCUGUAACUGACGCUGAUGUGCGAAAGCGUGGGGAUCAAACAGGAUUAGAUACCCUGGUAGUCCACGCCGUAACGAUGAGUGCUAAGUGUUAGGGGGUUUCCGCCCCUUAGUGCUGCAGCUAACGCAUUAAGCACUCCGCCUGGGGAGUACGGUCGCAAGACUGAAACUCAAAGGAAUUGACGGGGACCCGCACAAGCGGUGGAGCAUGUGGUUUAAUUCGAAGCAACGCGAAGAACCUUACCAAAUCUUGACAUCUUUUGACCACUCUAGAGAUAGAGUUUUCCCUCUUCGGAGGACAAAAUGACAGGUGGUGCAUGGUUGUCGUCAGCUCGUGUCGUGAGAUGUUGGGUUAAGUCCCGCAACGAGCGCAACCCUUGAGCUUAGUUGCCAUCAUUAAGUUGGGCACUCUAAGUUGACUGCCGGUGACAAACCGGAGGAAGGUGGGGAUGACGUCAAAUCAUCAUGCCCCUUAUGAUUUGGGCUACACACGUGCUACAAUGGACAAUACAAAGGGCAGCGAAACCGCGAGGUCAAGCAAAUCCCAUAAAGUUGUUCUCAGUUCGGAUUGUAGUCUGCAACUCGACUACAUGAAGCUGGAAUCGCUAGUAAUCGUAGAUCAGCAUGCUACGGUGAAUACGUUCCCGGGUCUUGUACACACCGCCCGUCACACCACGAGAGUUUGUAACACCCGAAGCCGGUGGAGUAACCAUUUGGAGCUAGCC
rnacentral:rRNA from 1 species